CCUACGGGAGGCAGCAGUGGGGAAUAUUGCGCAAUGGGCGAAAGCCUGACGCAGCGACGCCGCGUGAGGGAUGAAGGCCUUCGGAUCGUUAACCUCUGUCUGCAGGGAAGUACGGUCACUGUGCUAAUCAGCCGUGAAUUGACGGUACCUGCAAAGGAAGCACCGGCUAACUCCGUGCCAGCAGCCGCGGUAAUACGGAGGGUGCGUGCGUUAAUCGGUAUUACUGGGCGUAAAGCGCUCGUAGGCGGUAUGUCAAGUCAAGGGUGAAAUCUCCGCGCUCAACGUGGGAACUGCCUUUGAUACUGGAGAACUGGAGUGUGUACGAGGAUGGUGGAAUUCCAGGUGUAGGAGUGAAAUCCGUAGAUAUCUGGAGGAACAUCGGUGGCGAAGGCGACUAUCUGGCACAUAACUGACGCUGAGGAGCGAAAGCGUGGGUAGCAAACAGGAUUAGAUACCCCGGUAGUC
rnacentral:rRNA from 1 species